GCGGGAUAGCUUAGUUGGUUAGAGCGUUCGGUUCAUACCCGGAAGGUCGUGAGUUCGACUCUCACUCCCG
rnacentral:tRNA from 1 species